rnacentral:rRNA from 1 species
GAUGAACGCUGGCGGCGUGCCUAAUACAUGCAAGUCGAGCGAAGGAGCGAGAAGCUUUCUGGUCGGAGUGGAGCGGCGGACAGGGGGGGAAUACGUGGAGAGCCUACCUAUAACACUGGGAGAACUUCGGGAAACCAGAGCUAAUACUGGGGGAUAUUUUGGGCCGCUUGGUUCAAGGGUGAGGGACGGUCUUGCUUUCGCUGGUGGAUGGACCCGCGCUGCAUUAGCUAGUUGGUGAGGUAACGGCUUACCAGGGCAACGAUGCCUAGCCGACCUGAGAGGGUGGUCGGCCACCCUGCAACUGAGACACGGCCCCGCAUCCUACGGGAGGCAGCAGUAGGGAAUCUUACGCCACGGGCGACAGCCGGCUGGAGCAACGCCGCGUGAGGGAUGAAGGUCUCCGGCUCGUAAAACUCCGUUAUUAGGGAAGAACAUAUGUGUCAGCAACUGUGCACAUCUUGACGGUACCUAAUCAGAAAGCCACGGCUAACUACGUG